UACAGAGACCUCAAACGUUAUCCGGAUUCAUUGGGCGUAAAGCGUCCGCAGGUGGUUUGGUUAGUCAGUGGUUAAAUCCCGGGGCUCAACUUCGGGGCUGCCGCUGAUACUGCCAAGCUUGAGGAUGGAAGAGGUAAGCGGAAUUCUCGGUGUAGUCGUAAUAAGCGCUGAUAUCGAGAAGAACACCAAAGGCGAAGGCAGCUUACUGGUACAUUCCUGACACUCAUGGACGAAAGCGUGGGGAGCGAAU
rnacentral:rRNA from 1 species